rnacentral:rRNA from 1 species
UACGUAGGGUGCAAGCGUUAAUCGGAAUUACUGGGCGUAAAGCGUGCGCAGGCGGUGAUGUAAGACAGUUGUGAAAUCCCCGGGCUCAACCUGGGAACUGCAUCUGUGACUGCAUCGCUGGAGUGCGGCAGAGGGGGAUGGAAUUCCGCGUGUAGCAGUGAAAUGCGUAGAUAUGCGGAAGAACACCGAUGGCGAAGGCAAUCCCCUGGGCCUGCACUGACGCUCAUGCACGAAAGCGUGGGGAGCAAACAGG